CCGGCGAACCGCUGCAUGAGGCGGAUGGCAUCGCGGAUCUUCUCGGAGCUCUGCAGGGCCGCGCCGCCGCCUGUGGGGCCGUCGGCCUGCGUCCCGUCAUUCACGAUGUAACCGUACUGCGUCAACCAGUCCUGUGAUAGAGAGAUGUGUCGCUACGUUAGUUCAACUACCGAUGUGGCUGUUGUGAUAUUGCAGCUCUCGGACACAUCUGCUUCAAGACUACCCCAAACUUAAUCUCCAAGUAGAUCCUACGAUGACGAUAAGAUAGUACCAAACUGGCCAAGGAUUGUAGUCAGACGAGAGGUGUACAUUUGCCAUGUAGGUAGCCAAACACACUCAUACUCCUCUGGCAGCUUUUUAUACUAUCUUACGCUACCGUAGGACCUGCUUGGAGAUUACCCCAAACCGCCCUUCCUCCAAGCGGCACUUCAAACACCGCAAACUACCGGCUCAAAACACCCGGCGGUGUUGGGGGUAUCACCGGCGCACCAUCCUACCAGACCGCGGACAGCGCCGCGCAGAUACCUGCACAGAGAUAGCAUCUUCUCUUUAAUGCAGGCCGUCUUGGAGAAUGUUAUCUCACCUGAAGAUACGUGCGCCGUUUCACAAUGGCAGGGACCGAACCGAAUCUACCAUCACAUCCGGGGCACGUCGUCACCAAGCCUGUCCUAACCAAAACACGGCCGCUUUGAUGAUUCCAAUCUCUUUACAGAACGGUAGAAAUCCACUUAGUUCUAACUGUCAGCUAUGAACUACCAGAGUGAAUCUUUGUAGAGAUAAAAAUCGGACAAACAGGCUUAGCAUUUGAGAACAAAGUGUUGGUGUAACCUGACAAAACACUUUUAAACUUUGACACUUCUCCGUGGUAAUUUACUGUAUUGUUCAGGUUCUUACGUCCAAUUAUGUCAUUGUAGAGGGACGGGAUAUUGAAGAAUGUGAAAAAAACGAAGGAAGAAAGGACAGGAAAAAAGAGAGAAGUAAAAGAUUUAAAGAGAUAUUCAAAGAACGAAACAGUCAUUUAAAGAGCGAAGCAAUCAAGACAUACAUUGUACUUUGAACGACAGACUAGGGUCUGUAAUGUAAUGUUAAGGGUAUACUGCGUAUAAGAUCAUUAGCUUAGAAAAUACAGAUGGCCAAAAAACUAAGUAAACAAACUAAGACGAUUGUAGAUUAUCUUAAAUGGUUGAAUGAGAAAAUCAAUAUCUACGUGUUUAAACAGCUUGAAAGUAAGAGUAUUUCGGAGUGACUUCACAUAGGCUAUAUUCUAGCUCGUUGCACUAAGAUCAUGGCAAAUAUACAGCUGUAUGGCGCAGGUGUUGUGGGGCUACCUUACACGACCUAAGCCUUUAGGACCCAUUCCCUCUAAUCUUGAUAAGCACAUGUCAAAGAUGUGCAGAGAUCACAGGCCCGAGUAUUAACCAAGACUGGUAAUCAGGAAAUGGCGACGUGUCAGCGAUAUGUUAUAUCAAAGGGCGGCGACCUACGACGAAUGUGACCGCUCGGUCACAUAGGUCGUGCGAUCGUCGUACGAUUUUGAUGCCAUAGGAUUUUUAAGCAGGCCGUGACAAAACCAACCACCGACAUGGAUACAAAACAGCAUUUUGUAUACCAAGACAGUUUAACUUUGCAGGAUACGUACAUUCUUGUCCUCAAAAGUGCCCCUCAACCCCCAAUAAAAAGCGAGAAAAGGCCUAGAAGGCCUGCUAUUGAGGCUAGUCCCGGAUAGCCGGAUAA